rnacentral:rRNA from 1 species
UACAGAGGUCUCGAGCGUUAGGCGGAAUCGCUGGGCUUAAAGCGUGUGUAGGCGGGUCGUUAAGUACCUUGUGAAAUCCCAUGGCUCAACCAUGGAACUGCUUGGUAUACUGGCGAUCUUGUGCAACCUAGGGGCGAGCGGAACAGAUGGUGGAGCGGUGAAAUGCGUAGAUAUCAUCUGGAACGCCAAUGGUGAAAACAGCUCGCUGGGGAUUUGCAGACGCUGAGACACGAAAGCCAGGGGAGCGAACGGG